ACGAGCCACUGGCUUUCCUCCUCCGAUGAGGGCAUCACUGCCAGAAACCAUCUGGCGAAACGGAUAAUAAGAUAAUAAAUACGCAAUAGAGGCGGGCAUAUCUCGUCAAUUAUAUUCUCUGACGCAUUGCCAGUGUCUUACGACGCGAUGCAAUCGCAGCGUAGUCUAUAAUGGUACAUAGGUCGUCUCUUGAUAUGUCACACUGCACAUUAUUAACGCAGAUAAGAUAACAUGAAUUCCGAGCCGAGAGAUAAAGGCGGGAAUCGGUUGCGAAAAUAUUGACAUUUUUGAGAGACAAAGCCGGAAGCUGAAUGGAAGGCAGAAUCGGAAGCGAGAACGACUUACGAGAAUAAACUAGGCUUUUUUUUCGAUAGAGAAAUCAAGGAUAAGAUUCGUUGUAAUAUUGAACGAUGAUUUUUCUAUCUCUCUCUAUCUCUCUCGUGUUACUACGCAGCACAUUUGCGCAUUUUACGAUGAGUAGACCGAUCUCACUUACCGUUGACCUUAGUUAAAAUAACCGGAGAGUCACUUUCGCGUGCACUUAUAUUUCGCAGCGGUAAUUCAGCGUUUAUGAGCCCGCAUUGAAGCACGCGGAGGUCGCGCGUUUUACCAAGGCUGAUUAACUCCCGGAAUUAAUGCAAGACCAGGGAACAACUUUCCAUACACAGUACAUAUGUGCAUAUAGGAAAAAUUCUACGAUAAUUUAGAAAGGGGUUGCAAAAAAACAGUAAACAAAGCUCGCAAAUUUGCGCGAGAACUAAUAGCAGACAGUUCUAACGCAAGAUAUAUCGUAAAUCGCCUCCGUCAGCUUCAUCUCAUCCUGAAAAGGUGCAAUUUUACGUCAACAGUUUCCGACCAUUAAAAACAGGAAGAACCUACGUCAUCAAGUUACAAAAAAAGGAAGCGUUAAAAUUAUAUUCCUCAGCCCUGCGACGAUAGAACAUUAAUCUUCCCGAACAAGCAGUGCACGGACAUUAACAGUGGAUACGAUUUGAUUUCCGCGACAUUUUCAUGACAUAUACGUAUUAUCACAUUUUUCGCACCGGAAUGAAGAAAAUCAGUUGGAUGGAUCGAUUAAUUUUGGUGGAUCAUGAGAUCGAGAGAUUGACGGAAAGCCAAUCA
rnacentral:lncRNA from 1 species